UUUUAAUUUACGACAUUCCGACGAUUUCGGUUAUAAAAACGGGUCUCGUAGAGGAUUACAGGCCACUUAAACACGGGCUUGUGGGCCUUGGGCCCAAGCCCAAAGCCCACUAAACCAAACCUAGCUAUAAAAGGGAAGGUGAAACCCUAACCCUCAUUUUUUUUGUCAGCCGCACAUGCUUGAAGUCCCCCUUGUUCUCUUAUUUGCUCUGCUAAUCAAGAAAUACACACACAAACAUAUGGAGACCAUCUUCUCCAAACCAAGUCCUCAACGACAACCUGCUCUCCUUCUCCAUCUCGUUGAAGAUCGGCCAAGCGACACCCCCCCCAUCUCGAUCUAUACGGCAAAACACACACACACACACACACCUGAAAUCAGAGCCAUAACCAUCUCUAAACACAACCACACCCACACAGAUCUGACUAUAGAGAGAGAGAGAGAGAGCGGCGGAGAAGAACCAACAGCGGCAGCAGCGCCGCCGUCUACGGCGGAGCGACGGAGGAGACAGGCGGCAUCGGUGGUUGAUGUUCCGACAACUCUUCGACACGCCCGGUAAGCGACGAUUUGGUGGAUAUCAACAGCAAUAGUGGCGGCGGAGGUGACGUCCGGUCACCAUGAACGGUUUCCGGCGACUCUCAGGUUCCCUUGAUGACGGAUUUGGGUUCGUGAACGGUCCGAUUCAGAUCAACUUUAGGGUGGUUCGAGUCAGUUUGGUUCAGAUUCGGGACACGAGCGGUUCGGGUUUCAUUUAGAUGGAGUCCAGUUUACGGUUUCACGUCGUUCGAGUUUCGGUUCGACAGUCAAAGCCUGUCAAACUUGGUCAAACAAUCAACGGGUCAGAAUCGGGUUCGGGUCAAAAUUUGUCAACAUCAGAUAUGUGUAGCUUCGGUUCAAGUGUUUAAGUUUGGUUCGGGUUCUUGUUCGGUUCAACUCAGAUCUGGGGUUCAAGUAGUCACAUCAGCAGGAUCGGGUCACGGUUCGGUUCGGUUCAACAAGUCAGACUGCGGGUCAAAGUUAGUCAACCACAGGUCAUGGUUCGUUUCGGUCAGAUUUGAUUUCGGGUCAAACUGAGUCAACUCGGGUCUACAGACAGUCAACGCAGUCAACAACAGUCAAUGAAGACCCGGAAUACUAUAGAUGCACGCUAGCUAAUUCACAUUCUUGGAACGACACUACGGAAACACACUAAGCUAGCAUUGCACAGGAACGUCAAGGUUGCAUUUUUCAAAACUAUGGAACGGUUGGAAUAGGAUAACCCACGGGAUUUCGAG